rnacentral:rRNA from 1 species
GGUUCGAUCCUGGCUCAGAUUGAACGCUGGCGGGAUGCUACAUGCAAGUCGAACGGCAGCACGGACAACCGGUCUGGUGGCGAGUGGCGAACGGGUGAGUAAUGUAUCGGAACGUGCCUAGUAGCGGGGGAUAACUACGCGAAAGCGUCUUCAGCCACCACCCAUACGCCCUUCGGGGAAAAGCGGGGACCUUCGGGCCUCGCACUAUUAGAGCAGCCGAUAUCGGAUUAGCUAGUUGGUGGGUACUUGGCUCACCAAGGCGACGAUCCGUAGCUGGUUUGAGAGGACGACCAGCCACACUGGGACUGAAGGCGCGGCCCAGACUCCCUGGGAGGCAGCAGUGAAAUUUUGGACCAAUGGGAAGCCCUGAUCCAGCCAUCCCGCGUGUGCGAUGAAGGCCUUCAGGUUGUAAAGCACUUUUGGCAGGAAAGAAACGGCCUGGAUAAUACCCCGUGCAACUGACGAAACACCUGCAGAAUAAGCGCCGGCUAACUACGUGCCAGCAGCCGCGGUAAUACGUAAGUGCAAGCGUUAAUCGGAAUUACUGGGCGUAAAGCGUGCGCAGGCGGUUCGGAAAGAAAGAUGUGAAAUCCAGAGCUUAACUUUGGAACUGCAUUUAACUUACCGAGCUAAGUGUGUCAGAGGGAGGUGGAAUUCCACGCGUGUAGCAGUGAAAUGCGUAGAUAUGCGGAGGAACACCGUGUGAAGGCAGCCUCCUGGGAUAACGCGGCAGCUCAUGCACGAAAGCGUGGGGAGCAAACAGGAUUAGAUACCCUGGUAGUCCACGCCUAAACGAUGUCAACUAGCUAUUGGGGCCUUCGGGCCUUGGUAUGCAGCUAACGCGUGAAGUUGACCACCUGGGAAAUACAGUCGCAAGAUUAAAACUCAAGGAAUUGACGGGGACCCACUGACGGUGGAUGAUGUGGAUUAAUUCGAUGCAACGCGAAAAACUACCUACCCUUGACAUGUCUGGAAUCCCGAGAUUUGGGAGUGCUCGCAAGAGAACCGGAACACAGGUGCUGCAUGGCUGUCGUCAGCUCGUGUCGUGAAGAUGUUGGGUUAAGUCCGCAACGAGCGCAACCCUUGUCAUUAGUUGCUACGAAAGGGCACUCUAAUGGACUACCCGGUGACAAACCGGAGGAAGGUGGGGAUGACGUCAAGUCCUCAUGGCCCUUAUGGGUAGGGAUUCACACGUCAUACAAUGGUCGGGACAGAGGGUCGCCAACCCGCGAGGGGAGCCAAUCCCAGAAACCCGAUCGUAGUCCGGAUCGCAGUCUGCAACUCGACUGCGUGAAGUCGGAAUCGUAGUAAUCGCGGAUCAGCAUGUCGCGGUGAAUACAUUCCGGGUCUUGUACACACCGCCCGUCACACCAUGGGAGUGGGUUUUACCGAAGUAGUUAGCCUAACCGUAAGGAGGGCGAUUACCACGGUAGGAUUCGUGACUGGGGGUGAUCGUAACAAGGUAA